UAAAGAUUAAUGUAUUAUAUUUUAUUGUUUAUACAAUAAAAACUCUUUCUGAUGGUACAAUACAUUGAAUUGAACAUCAGUCAUUCUGUUCAAUAUUCUUAAUCAUACCUCAUAAAAUGUAUGCGUAUAUGUCAUUUACAUCACUUAUGUAACAAUAAUGAACAGCACCAAAAAUGGAACCAUUUCUUAAUAAAAUUCAUCAAUAAUAAACAAUGAUUUAAAAGAUAAACUGUUGAGAUGGUAAGUCAUCCAUUUCAAGGUACAAUCCAAUAGUUUCCAUGAUAUUUGGAGUAAAAAAUGAGAAAGGGGAAAAAUCACAACGAACAUUGUCCUUGGCUCAAAAUUAAUAUCAAACUGAUCUUAAAAAAACAUAUAAUAAAAGGUAUUUCGCCUAUACAAUAGGCAUGACUAACCAAACAGUAUACCAAGUAAUAAUUAUGACAGCAGAAGAGCCACAUAUAACAAGCAUGGGGGAGGGGGGGGGUGUCCAAAAGUACUCAAGACCAGAGCGAAUAAAAAAAAAACAUAAAUUUCAAAGAAAACCAAACUUAAAACUCCCAGUAUCAUUGAUCUUGGAGCUAACAAUGGCAGUAUUGUUAAAGUAAACGCUUUGUGAACUGAGCAUUAUAAUUUCUUUGGACUCCUCAGCUGUGGCCGAUUGUAUCGCAGAUUGGUCUUCAAUCAUUAUGAGGAUCAACCUUGACAAAUGACUUGUCUGCCUACUCAUCUGUUGUAUUGACAGGAGAUUCAAUGCAUUAUAUUCUUUUUAA